UUAUUUGAAAUAGGAUACAACCUAUAACACUGGGUAAAUAAAAGUAAUUUAAACAAAGUAGGCCUAAGAGCAGCCAUCUUUUAAAAAGCGUCACAGCUUAACUUCCCUUAUACUUAUAAUUAGUAUACCUCCCCUCAACCCUUCACCAAUACUGAACUUUUUUAUAUUAUUAUAAAAAUUAUUAUGCUAGAACUAGUAACAAGAAAUUGCCCUUCUCCUAAAUGUAAACAUAAGUCAUAACGGACUCCCCAUUGACACUUAACGUAAUUGUAUACUUAUAUAGUAACACUCAUCAAGAAAACCCUAUAAUUUAAAACGUUAACCUUACACUAGAACAUUACAGGAAAGAUUAAAAGAGAGAGAAGGAACUCGGCAAAUUUUAGCCCCGCCUGUUUACCAAAAACAUCGCCUCUUGAUUCCUAUAAGAGGUCCAGCCUGCCCGGUGACAAAGUUUAACGGCCGCGGUACCCUAACCGUGCAAAGGUAGCAUAAUCACUUGUUCUCUAAAUAAGGACUAGUAUCAACGGCAUCACGAGGGCUAUACUGUCUCCUCUCCCUAAUCAGUGAAACUGAUCUCCCCGUGAAGAAGCGGGGAUAUACUU
rnacentral:rRNA from 1 species